CAAUUUAAAAGAGUUUGAAGGAGCAAGAGAGAUCUCAGUUCCUGCAUGUUCAUGAAAAAACUUCAGCUUGGCAAUGGAAUGAGACCUAGAUUAAUGAUCCCAUGAAAGACAGUGGAGGAUUGAGGCACAGAGAGGUGAAAAGAUCUCCCCAAGGUCACACGGGAAGUCACCUGAUAACAGGAAAAUGUUGAUGGUCUGAUGUCCAUGGUCUGAUGAUGGCUGUACUCCUAAGGUAGUAAACAUCAUGAAGAAUAUAACCUAGGAAGGGAGGGAACCCCUUACACUGCAAGAACAUGGGAUGUAGGACUCGUGACAGGACAACAUCAGAGGGACACUCAUCCAUGGCUCUAUCAGUCUCUGAUAUGACACAGUGAAACAGCAAGUGAAUGAACCAGGUUUCAAGGAAGCAAGAGUCUGUGCCCUGUCAACACGUUCAUCUUGUGCUCUGCGCCAGCGGUCAUCCCCUGGCACACAUCCCCUGUCCUGCUGGCUGAAGGGUCCUGGUCCUGGUCCUGGUCAGUGUGAACUUGACUUCAGCUCUCCAUGUCUGAGUGUUUUUUUACUUGUGUCUGUGGUACUCGCGCCUGUAGACUGGAUGUCCCAGCACGGAGAUUUGGCGAAGCAUUCCUUCACUUUGUCAUGGCAAGGGACCCUGUACUCCUUCCUCAUAGGCUUGGGAAAGCAGGCUGGAGAUAUCUUCUACCUUACCAUGGUCUGACACAUUCGCUUCUUCCCAGAAACCAGAAUACCUUGAGGGAUGAAGGUGAAGAAUGCAGCAUGGAAGAAGUGAAGUCUCUUAACUUCUGACUCCAUUAAUGAGGCUGAUCACCAGAGAAGACUGCCAGUGCUGGGUUACUGUGUGGCACCAUGGUCACGUUGCUUCCCGAAGAAGGGUGAACUCCAGACCAGGAGCUCCAUGCUGACACUGAGUUGCUCAUGUGGGGACAAGAAGCGGGAGAGGACAGGGCUGAUGAUAGUCAGAGGAAAGAGGGGGGGUGUGCAUGUGUAUGUGGGGGGUCACCAAAACUUAGGACUAGACUGAGGAAAGAAAAGUAAUUUUCCAGGGCUUCGUUGUCUUAUACAGAGAAAACAAAGAAUGGUCUUUCUCCUUAGCAUGUUGGGGUUUAGCACUCAGUAAAGAAAUGUUAUAUCAAAAUAGAGCAUCUAUUUUGGGUGUCUAGGUGUUUCUCCAUUUUUGUGACAAAUCCAAUUUUGGCUGAUGCAUGAAGGACUAGACAGAGCCUCCCUUUCCUGUACUCUGGGACAUGUUCUAGGGGACAAUUCAACAGUAAACCAACUCUUGUGAAUUAAGUUAUUACAACUUUAUCAUGUUUCCCAAUUCCUUUCAUAUAAUAUAAUAAUGUAUGUUAAAGGAGAUGUCUGCACUGCAGUCUUGUUUUGAUAUUGAUGAGAUCUUGCAUUGCAAUCCUGGCUCUUCUUUUUUAAAUGGCAAAGAAAAAGCCAUAUCACCGGGAAAAUAAUAUAAAAUACUGUUUGUAGAUAUUUAAUUUCAGGUUUAUGAACUAGAUAAAAACCAAACCAAAACAAUCACCCCCCCAAAAAAAGCUCAACUGAUCUAUUACUACUGGGAUCUGUUCAAUGUUUUGCUAUGUAAACUGCAUGCUGCAUGAUGGCCUUGCUUUCUGCCGGUGGGAAAAUCUCCUGAGAAGAAAUGUGUCUCUCGCUUCCUCUGGGAAUGCUCAGUACCCUGGAGAUGCUUCUUGCUUGACAUUUUGUUUCUCAAGUGAUUACUUGGGCCUUUGCUCAGAUGAGAGAAGUAAUUUUUCUUUCCCUGACUUCAAGUAGUACAUGUAAUUAUGUAAUUGUAAAGCUCUUUCCUUUAUGCUUAAGGCUAAACUGUCUUGUGACAGUGGAUAUACAGGGGUUUGUCCUCUCAGUGCUUUGCUGAGCAAGACUGAGCUGGGCUGGGCUACUUUGACUAUAUUUUGGUGGCAGGCAGCAUGGCGAGCUCAGGAAAUCCCAAUUCAGUACUGGGCCACUGUCCAACCCUGCUUUCAUGUUUUCGCACAGGAAAUUUGGGGUCCAGAGCCAACAGAUUUGAUUGCAAACCAGGGCAGCACCCAUGGCAUAAGGGGUCAGUGAUGAGUUGUGGCUGCUGUAACUGUGGUGUAUUUAUUAUGUCGUUGAAUCAGAAGCAAACUCAGUUUUGUUUAUAAAAUGAAAACACGUAUUUGUUCUAUCUUCUGGAAGUACAGCAUCGUUAGUGUGAAUAAUGCUUAUGAAAUACAUUGGAAUUGCAUCUGGUAAACCUGAAGUCCUCCACAGAAGAUCACAUUCUGCUAGUUAGGAGUUAGGAUUUGAAAGAUUCAGAUUAUGUUCAGAUUAUGUCAGAACUAACUACAAAUUUUAGCUAACCUGAACCUUAACUUUCUACCUGAUACGAGCUGCUUGCAGUCGCAGCAUUUGGAAGGCACUUUGCAGACACACAGGAAGGACAGAUCUAAUAAAUGCACAUAGGUGAUGCAAACAGUGUACCUAAAUUCAUUUUCAUUGUACAAUUUUUAUAUCUGUUAUUUCAAAUAGCACCGAUCUGCCCUGCAGUGUCUGGAGUUCUGUCUCUAUCAAAAAGGAGACAAUUCUUUCAAAAACAGUACUAAACCAUGAGGUAUAAACUAGGGGAAAACAAGUCUUUUUCACUUACUUAUUUACUGAUGUAAUUUUUUUCAUUAUUAAUUGAAGUCCUGUUGCUACAUAAUCUUCCUUUUUUUACCAGAAACCUAUGAAACAAAAGUACACUGCUGCCAUACGGAAAGGGCAACUAGAACCUUACAGCUGUUUUCUUUUCCAGGAUAGGUUGCAUUGAAAUGUCUAAACAAAGAUGCUUGUGUUUGUAUGUAACUUUAGGGUUAAGUAACUCUCUGGGGCUGGAAGACACACACCCACGCUGCCUGGGAAGGGCUGCUUCAGGAUUAGGAAAACUCCCCUGCUAGGCAGAUUUAUGCUCUGAAGAUCCUGCCACUUUUCACUUUGAAUGCUCUUCCUGCCUGGACUCUGGACUCUUAAGCAUGUAUUUAACUUCAGAGAAGGGACUUAAGGCAAGUGUACAGAGAUUCCUGAACUGUUUAGGAUUUCAGAGGUGCUCAAGUGUUUCCUUCUAUCUCAGUGGGUACAGCAUUCUCAGUGUUUUAAUGAUGUUCACAUUUAUUCUUAAUAGCAGCUGAUACUCUACAGUUCACAUUUUAAUAGGUAUCGAUGCCUUAUCAUGUCCUACCCAGUACAGCAACUGGAAUCUAAUACUUGCAGAUCUCCCUUUCAGAAGUCUUUGCUCUGAAAUAAACCAAACUCACAUUUACUUUACCAAUAAAGAAUAGUACAUUUGGUAAGAAAUUAUUUUAAAACUGUGAACAGCUGGCAUUUACUUCUGCUUUCCUUAGAAACCAGCCAUCACUCAACUUCUUCACUGCAUUCCCACAUUAGCCUGGUUCCCUGGAGGAGCCGUCUUCUCCCUUGGAUGAUGUGUUCCUUCAAGUCUACUGCAGUAGUUUGGUCCCCGCUACCCCGGACUCCUUCGUGCCCUGUCAUUGUCUCUUUACAAUACCUCAUGUGGGCUGAGGAUGGCUUGUCCUGCCAUUAUUGGUUUUCCUCUUUCUUUCGCCCAGCAGCCCUUUUGUUGAGCUGACUCACCACAGUGGCACAGCUGACACCAUAGGAACUGUUUCAGUGUUCGUUAUCCACUGUUUAUUACAGAGAAUCCAGGUUGUUAAUAGUCAGUCAGGGGGCACAAGGAACUAUUCUGGUUCAAGACCCUUACGUGCAAUGAUCAAUUGUUUAGCAAGAGGAAAAGCAAAAGCCGUGGAAGGGAAUCAGAAAUCUGGUUUGUCUUUCACAGUCCUCUGAACUGUGCUCUGGCAGCUCCCAGCGAGCCUUCCCUGGGGGGACAUUAGGCACAUGUGCUUUUGAGAGCAAGAAGAUCCGGGGCUGAUCCUUGCUGUUGCUGUGAAGUUCGCAUGGCCGCGGCAUGCGACCCAGCUGGAAGUGAGUCCCUGCCUGAUGCGAACGGGGAGGCACGUAGCUGUGUGGUCGCUACCGCUUUUCAUGACUGAAAGCGCGUGUCCUGCGUGGUGUGUGCAGCUCUCUGUACGGCAUGAUCCGCGCUGGGAGCGCUCGUGGAGCUCCCAGAGGCCAUGAGUGGGUACCAAGGGGAAGUGUUAGCCUUUAAAAACUCAGAUCGCUGAAUGAAAACAUUUGGUAAGCCUGCCGUGUCUUUGCUAAUAAAUAUUUCACCCCUUGGAA